GAUGAACGCUGGCGGCGUGCCUAAUACAUGCAAGUCGAGCGAACGGACGAGAAGCUUGCUUCUCUGAUGUUAGCGGCGGACGGGUGAGUAACACGUGGAUAACCUACCUAUAAGACUGGGAUAACUUCGGGAAACCGUAGCUAAUACCGGAUAAUAUUUUGAACCGCAUGGUUCAAAAGUGAAAGACGGUCUUGCUGUCACUUAUAGAUGGAUCCGCGCUGCAUUAGCUAGUUGGUAAGGUAACGGCUUACCAAGGCAACGAUGCAUAGCCGACCUGAGAGGGUGAUCGGCCACACUGGAACUGAGACACGGUCCAGACUCCUACGGGAGGCAGCAGUAGGGAAUCUUCCGCAAUGGGCGAAAGCCUGACGGGGCGACGCCGCGUGAGUGAUGAAGGUCUUCGGAUCGUAAAACUCUGUUAUUAGGGAAGAACAUAUGUGUAAGUAACUGUGCACAUCUUGACGGUACCUAAUCAGAAAGCCACGGCUAACUACGUG
rnacentral:rRNA from 1 species